UGGGGAAUAUUGCACAAUGGAGGGAACUCUGAUGCAGCGACGCCGCGUGAACGAAGAAGGCUUUCGAGUCGUAAAGUUCUUUUAUAUGGGAAGAUAAUGACGGUACCAUAAGAAGAAGCCCCGGCUAACUACGUGCCAGCAGCCGAGGUAAUACGUAGGGGGCUAGCGUUGUCCGGAAUCACUGGGCGUAAAGGGUUCGCAGGCGGAAAUGCAAGUCAGGUGUAAAAGGCAGUAGCUUAACUACUGUAAGCAUUUGAAACUGCAUAUCUUGAGAAGAGUAGAGGUAAGUUGAAUUUUUAGUGUAGCGGUGAAAUGCGUAGAUAUUAAAAAGAAUACCGGUGGCGAAGGCGACUUACUGGGCUCAUUCUGACGCUGAGGAACGAAAGCGUGGGUAGCAAACAGG
rnacentral:rRNA from 1 species